CCUACGGGAGGCUGCAGUCGAGAAUCAUUCACAAUGGGGGAAACCCUGAUGGUGCGACGCCGCGUGGGGGAAUGAAGGUCUUCGGAUUGUAAACCCCUGUCAUGUGGGAGCAAAUUAACAAGAUAGUACCACAAGAGGAAGAGACGGCUAACUCUGUGCCAGCAGCCGCGGUAAUACCGAGGUCUCAAGCGUUGUUCGGAAUCACUGGGCGUAAAGCGUGCGUAGGCUGUUUCGUAAGUCGUGUGUGAAAGGCGCGGGCUCAACCCGCGGACGGCACAUGAUACUGCGAGACUAGAGUAAGGGAGGGGGAACCGGAAUUCUCGGUGUAGCAGUGAAAUGCGUAGAUAUCGAGAGGAACACUCGUGGCGAAGGCGGGUUCCUGGACAUUAACUGACGCUGAGGAACGAAGGCCAGGGGAGCGAAAGGGAUUAGAUACCCUGGUAGUC
rnacentral:rRNA from 1 species